rnacentral:lncRNA from 1 species
GCGGUUCUUGGAGCUGAGCAAGGCCAUAGCUUCGUCCCGGCCACGCCCUACCGAGCCCCUGCUCCCUGCCCUGAAGAACGACACCAUGGACGCCACCAAGCUUCGGCCACGCAUCCCCUCGGCCAUGGCUAGCCCAACACCGUCCACGCGCGUCACAGAAGCAGGAAGCGAGGGGGGCAGUGGCACGGUCUUCCCUGGCCUAAGAAGGCCAACACAACGGCUUACGGUGUGGUGGCGAGAGCAGGCCAUGGCGGGGCCAUCUGUCGCUGCGGCGAGCGCUGCUGCCGAGCCGUGGCCGCCUAUGCUCGGCAACCGUUGGGCGAGCGGGCGCAGUGUAAGGAGGAGGCGCCAGGGAGAGAGAAGGAGAAGGGGAAAGGGGACGUGGCUGCCGGAGGUGGGCUCACCGGCGGCGCGCCCGGCCGGGGGAGUCAGCAGACCAUGCGCGAGGUGGUGGCGCUCGGCUGGGGUGAGUAGCUGGACGAGAUUUGUGGAUUGGGCCCUGACAGGUGGCCCCUCCUUUUAACUUAACAUUCAACUUCUUUAUGUUGACUUUUAGUGCCGUGUGGACUUGACUAGCGGGCCCGGCAUGUCAGAAAUUGGAUUAAUUUGUCUUGAACCAUCUUCAGUGUUUAUUGAGAAAAUUAGUAAGGAAACCGGUAGAUUUUUGGAGCGCAUAAGGAAUGUGGUGGCAAAUCCGAAAAUGAACUUAGAAUGUGGUUGUUUUUAGCAAUUCACUCCUGAGCAGACCAUGACCAGCUCGUAUACUAAACCAAGGGCGGGCAGAGUAAAACUCAAUCCAAAUGGUUCUUACCUUGAAAACAAAUGGGGUGCAGGCAUGAUUCUCAGGGAUUCUGAAGGCUCAAUAAUUCUUAGUUCAUGCAGGCAUCUAUUCACAUGCGCUGAUGCGUUAGAAGCAAAGCUAUUAGCUAUAAAAGAGGGAAUUUCAUUAGCACUACAAUGGAAUUAUACUUACCCAUUGAUGUCGAAUCGGAUUGUUCGGAGGAUAUCUCGAUGAUCAAGGAAGGAGUUGGCAACAAAUAAAAGCAUGCGUUCAUCGUCAAGGAGAUCAUUGAUAGCUGGCUGCAAACUCUCGCGCCUUGCCAGCUGAGCUAUGCUCAGUUCUCAUUGGACGAGAUUUUAAGACCGAACUUUGAGUAAUACAAGAACUUUUUCGCAAAAAAAAACAUGUUAAAACCAUCACAAUUCACUGACCUGCACAAUUGCAGAUAUGAGUUCUUCUGUCUUUUUGUGCUUCAGGAUAACAAGGAGUGCUUUUCCGACGACGUUUUGCCCAACGGCCUCAGCGUCGGCAAGGGAGACAUCGUGUUCUACGCCCCCUACGCCAUGGGCAGGAUGGAGCGGCUGUGGGGCGAGGACGCCAUUGCCUUCCGACCCGAAAGAUGGCUCGACGAGCGCGGCGAGUUCCUGCCGGAGAGCCCUUUCAAGUUCACGGCUUUCCAGGCUGGUCCAAGGAUCUGCUUAGGAAAGGAAUUCGCGUACAGGGAGAUGAAGAUCUUCGCGGCCGUGCUGCUCCGCUUCUUCGUGCUCGCGUUGCAUGACAAGGAUGCCAGCGUCAACUACAGGACCAUGAUCACGCUCUACAUCGAUCAGGGUCUCCAUCUGACGGCUACGGCCAGAGGCAUCGUGUAGCCACCUUUGUACUCAAGAUACGCGUACGUACAUGAUUGAAUAUCUCUUCUUCUUUUUUUGAGACUCGCGAUUGAAUGUCUCAAGUAUUGAAUCUUAGCCCGGACAUGGAAGUGGCUCCGUCUGAACAUAUAUUUUGUGAACUACCUUUUUUUUCACAUUCCAAUGACAACGUAUGAGCAA